rnacentral:rRNA from 1 species
AUACGGAGGGUACAAGCGUUAGUCGGAAUUACUGGGCGUAAAGCGUACGUAGGCGGUUAUUUAAGUCAGAUGUGAAAGCCCCGGGCUUAACUUGGGAACUGCAUUUGAAACUGGGUAACUAGAGUUUAGUAGAGGGGAGUGGAAUUUCAGGUGUAGCGGUGAAAUGCGUAGAGAUCUGAAGGAACACCAGUGGCGAAGGCGACUCCCUGGACUAAGACUGACGCUGAGGUACGAAAGCGUGGGUAGCAAACAGGAUUAGAUACCCUUGUAGUCC